rnacentral:misc_RNA from 1 species
GAUGAAGAACGCAGCGAAAUGCGAUAAGUAAUGUGAAUUGCAGAAUUCAGUGAAUCAUCGAAUCUUUGAACGCACAUUGCGCCCGCCAGUAUUCUGGCGGGCAUGCCUGUUCGAGCGUCAUUUCAACCAUCAAGCCUGGCUUGGUGUUGGGCGACGUCCCCUUUGGGGACGCGCCUCGAAACGCUCGGCGGCGUGGCACCGGCUUUAAGCGUAGCAGAAUCUUUCGCUUUGGAAGUCGGGGCCCCGUCUGCCGGAAGACCUACUCGCAAGGUUGACCUCGGAUCAGGCAGGGAUACCCGCUGAACUUAAGCAUAUCAAUAAGCGGAGGA